AUGGAAGCUGUCAGGAGGCAGCGUGCCAUAGGAGAGAUGCUAAGGAACUUACGGGCAGAGGUGGAGGUUGGGGAGAAAAAAGAAGAUGAAAGUACAGUGAGAUGUCUACUGAACUGCUUCUGCAAAGGCCCCUCCCCAAGUACUCUGACCGAAAGUUGCAGGGACAUGGAUGAAUCUGGAGAACGUCAUCCUCAGCAAACUGACACAAGAACAGAAAAUGAAACACCGCAUAUUCUCACUCAUAGGUGGGUGAUGAAAAAUGAGAACACAUGGACACAGAAAGGGGAGUACUAA
rnacentral:lncRNA from 1 species